GUGCUUGCUUCGGCAGCACAUAGACUAAAAUCGGAACAAUACAGAGGUUAGCAUGGUCCCUGUGCAAGGAUGACAUGCAAAUUCAUGAAGCGGUCUGUAUUUUU
ensembl:snRNA U6 U6 spliceosomal RNA